UAGCUCAGCGCAGAACCUCCCGUGUUACCAAGCAUGAGGCGGAAUGUUGCGUAAAGGGAAAGGUCGCUUCCAGCCCAACCGGACACACCUGUGCCAAGAAGGCCACGAAUUGGCCAGCUCAUAACCUGACGGAGAAAGCGCCAUAGAGGGUGUAAGCCCCGUGGGCGGGUGUGCUGAUCAUGCACUCCGGUUUGGGACGACCUUCUUCCCUGAGAGUCGCGUUGCUUUGGCAUGCAGCGCUAAGCUGGUCGUAAACUCGAUCAAAGGCUAAAUAUAUCCACAGGACCGAUAGUGAACAAGUACCGUGAGGGAAAGUUGAAAAGUACUCUGAAGAGAGAGUCAAAAGAUCGUGAAACUGCUCAGAGUAUAAGUCAAUGUUGUCUGAAGGCGAGGCUAUCUUAUCUGCCGCCGGGGAAUGUGAUCCUUUUGUAUGCGUAAUGUUGUACGACUGCGAUGGACUCCUCGUUGCUACGGAAAGAUUUUAAGUGAAAUAGUCGGGGUUUGUGCUAUUGGAUUUCAAGUAACCUUGUUGUAAACCCAAGCACUUAGUGCUUUAGCAAAUAAAGAUUUUAUUAUCUGUUUGCACACUCGAAAGGACGCUGUUUCCUUCAGGCAUAGGGGCAUUGAGUUGACAACCCACUGCAGGGCAGGCUAACCAAGUUAAUGUCGGCAUUUUGUCUUCACGCCAGGUGGGGAGCUCUGACCGCGCCCCAUCUACUGUGUCGAAUUUAUGGUGCCGGCGGUUAGUCCCUCCAAUGGAGCACAUCUGUCCUAGGUUCUGCCGUCCACCCCGGAUCGAAAUCAGUAGCCUUAAAUUCGCCCACCAGGUUCUGUUGCAAGGUCACCUGCAUUUAUAAUGUCACACGCUAUCUACCUCAAACUUUUUUUGAUUCUCACUUGUGAGAUGAAAUUGUGCGAGAGUGCCCUUCGCGGGGCUCAUCCUCCCCUUUAUGGCCUUAUAUUGUUAAAUGCUCUGUCAUGUCCGGUUUCUGAUUGCUAAUAAGAGAAUCGGUCGGCAUGCGGCCAAAUAAAAGGGUUUCCACUGUGUUGUAAUGGAUGCACGCGUUUUGUGCUGCAGUGUAUGAUCCUUUUGAAUUUGUUAAAUUCUUUCGAGAGUUUUAACAUUGAACGCAUAACGCGACAUUUCCUAUCUGGCUUAGAUCGGGCCGCUCUCAGGACCUUCUCAUGUGCCGAGUUGCUUAGUCCUUGGAACUGCUUGCCCGUGCGGUCUGUGGUCUAUUCUGGCUCGAAAGAUCAGUACAACCACUCCGCAUGAGAGCGGCCUUCUCAAUUGGUGAUAAUAUCAGACAACAUUGAUCACGUCUCGAAACACGGG
rnacentral:rRNA from 1 species